CCCUUAGAUGUCCGGGGCCGCACGCGCGCUACACUGAAGGAAUCAGCGUGGCUUUCUCCCUGACCCGAAAGGGUUGGGAAACCCGUUGAAUCUCCUUCGUGAUAGGGAUUGGGGCUUGAAAUUGUUCCCCAUGAACGAGGAAUUCCCAGUAAGCGCGAGUCAUAAGCUCGCGUUGAUUACGUCCCUGCCCUUUGUACACACCGCCCGUCGCUACUACCGAUCGAACGGUUUAGUGAGGGCCUCGGAUUGGUCUCGGCCCGCUCUUUACCGGGCGGCGCCGUUGGUCGAGAAGACGCUCGAACUUGAUCGUUUAGAGGAAGUAAAAGUCGUAACA
rnacentral:rRNA from 1 species